rnacentral:lncRNA from 1 species
AACCCUCCUUCCACCACACCUCAGCCCUGGGAGGCCUGGUGACCAGCUGGGAGUGCCGGGCUCCAAGGCUGAGAGGUGUUGCUCAAUCAGCUGAAGUGUCCUAGUCCAUGAAAAGGGUACGAUUUCUCUUUGCCGAAGAGACAAUGCGGGAACCUUAGGAGAAAACAGCAGGAAAAGACAUUGCUGCCCAGGUGGACACACAUCUCCUCCAGGUGCGCUUUCCUUGGCUUUUGAGGCCUCGUAUAUUUGGACGUUGAAGGCGUCCCUCAGGUACCACCUGGAAUGGUUUGUGCGAGUGGAGCUCUACUACCAAAUGAAAACUUUCAAUUACAUUAUUGUGCAUAAUGGACUUGGGGGCCUUUUUAAAGCAAAGGAAGUAACACUGCAGGAAAGGCAAAAUGGAAUUAAAGAAGCGGAGAGGUGUUUCUCUCCAGGAUCUUGCUACUUAUUGAUGACACCGUAUCAAGGCGCCAGAGUCCAAAUGGUCAUCAUAAGAAAAACUGCACCUAACUUCCACAGCCUCCUAGGAGGCCCAGAGACAUCACUGUACUUGCCUGCCAUCCUAUGUGGUGCUGGAAAAAAAAAAAAAAAAAAAAAAAGAGGGGG